GGCUCCGUGGCGUAAUGGUGGCGCGUCGGAUUCCAAGUUGCCAAAGCUGUCCAGGCAAGGUACCAUCCGAAGGUUGUGGGUUCGAUCCCCACCGGGGUCA
rnacentral:tRNA from 1 species